GGAAGGACCAAAGUUCACAGUACUGAAGGAGCCUGAACCAUCACCCCUCGUUUCUUCCUGAUCAAGUGGUAACCAUCACUCACCUUUCGCCAUGAAAGGAGCAUUCACAGUUUCAUCGGUGUCGAGUGAGCUCUCAGUGCUGAUAGACAUGGUGUUCUCUUUACCGGUGUCAUACAGCGAGAGCAGCCUUCUAUGGUCCUCAAAAUCCG
rnacentral:misc_RNA from 1 species